GGCACCAUCGCCAAGUCCGGCACCGCCGAGUUCUUCAAGAACUUGUCAGGUGAUCAGGGCCGCGACUCCCAACUGAUCGGUCAGUUUGGUGUGG
rnacentral:tRNA from 1 species